UUUUUACACUUGAUCUCUGAACUUUCAAGGUAAGUUCAUAUGUAGACCAAGGUUUUUUCUGAUGCC